UGGAGAAUCUUGCACAAUGGGCGCAAGCCUGAUGCAGCCAUGCCGCGUGCGGGAAGAAGGCCUUCGGGUCGUAAACCGCUUUCAGCAGGGACGAAGCGAGAGUGACGGUACCUGCAGAAGAAGGACCGGCCAACUACGUGCC
rnacentral:rRNA from 1 species